CUCAUUCUGCAAUUUUGUAAAGUCCGGAGCGGGAACAACUUCUUCUACAGCAAAUGUCGACUAAACCCGAUUACUUGGCGGGGGGUUCCUUAGCUAAUAGAGAGUCUUCAACGUCACGAGUGGUGCUUUUCCCUGUGUACUUCAAUUAGGGCAAACUUACUUUACAUGACAUCACAAUUUGAUUAGAGCUAGCUCAACCAGCCCAUCCUAACUUUUCUUUUCUUCGCUGAUUCAUUCAUUCACUUUUUUGGGUGUUUUUAGAAAGCCAAAAGUAUAAACCAGCUGGCACCUCCUCUUGUAAAAAAUGUCUCACAGACUCCUAAACUCUACCAAAAAACUUCUCCACCACCAUUUCAGCCCCUUUUAUCAGCCUCAAAUGCCUGCCGCCCCCAGUGAUACUAUUGGUCCAUUCAAUUUAACCAUAACUUUUAAUCAUUGAAGAUCACGACAUGUGUCAAAUACUUAAAAGUAUAACUGCAAUCAAAUGCAUGCCAGCAUUUUGCAGCUGGACAAAUAUCUGAGGCAGAAAAGUAAAUAUAAUAGUUAUCUUUAGUAUGAAAGAUGUCACUCACUUUGCUAAUUGACUGGAUGAAAGCUCAAGAGCAUGGAGAGUAGCUAGAGCACCACCUAAACUAUGACCAGUAACAUAGACAUGCCACUUGUACUGUGGCUCACAACCAUCGUCCCUGCAAGAAAACAUUUCACCAUCAAGUUAUCACAAGACAAUC
rnacentral:lncRNA from 1 species